UUAGGCUACAAGCCUGUACAGAAUGUUAUGACACUGUAUACUGGAGGCAACUCUAACACAAUGUACAUGAAUCACUCCUACUAAGAGAUCCUGAAAGAGGUCAUCAAAGCCACCAGAAACUAUUCCUGGACAGAGGAGGUUUUAUAGGUGUGGUUGGUCUCCUUACUGACGUGUCAACUACAAAUGCACAGGGUUCUGCCUGAAAUGUUUUAGUUGUUGCAGAUGUGUAGCUUCUAUAUGUAAAGUCUUCACUGCACGUGCUACAGAAACUUGAACUAUCUGAAGAGAGGAUGGAGUCAUCAGAUACUGGAUCCAGUCAAAAUAUUUGGAUGCUUUCAGAAACAUCUGCCUAGCUGAGAUGUGGGGAAGGAACAUAAAGCAUUUUCUCUCCCAGUCCCUGCUGAAAGGGGUAAUCUAAAAACCAAAAUAAAUGCCUUGAGAUCUUUUCUGGGAAUGAAAAAAUACAAAGACAAGCUAAGAAGCUGGAGCAGGAAAUUGACUUCAAACUCUGCUUGGAGAAUCACCAGCUGCAAAACUGUAUGGGGCAAAUUUCUCAUAAGAGUAUAGAGGAUGUGACACUGUACAGAGUUCACACUCAUGACUCAAUGAUGAAAUGGAAACCAGGAAGACCUGAUUAUGCAUGUCUGUGAAACUCACCCAUGCCAUCUGGAAAGGAAAAAGUUAAGUUGCAUUUCUGCAAUACAUUCUCUCCCUUCCCUGAGCUGCUCCUGGAAUAUAAAGAAAGCAAGGAAAUAUUUACUGGGCCUUCAGCUUUCUGUACUACUUCGGAACAGCACUAGCAUCUAUCUCAGGGUUUAAAAUAUGGAAGUUCUUGCCUUCCUUGAAUCUUUUCUCCCAGAAAUAACAUAUUGGCUCUCUUCCCUGUGACAUGCCUCAUCUGACAUUGGCUGGCUUUCAUAUAAAACCUUUGUUUUAGCCUACUAUCAAUUCAACUUUUACAUUGACAAAACGUAAUUUUUGGUUGUCAAUGUAAAAGUUGACAUUUUUACAUUCAACUUUAAUUUAAAUGCUGAAUUUAAAUUUAAAUGCUGAAAAUUUAUUUAAACACUUAAAAUGAUAUUAGAAGAGGUAUUUUAUGUUUUUAAACAGAGAUAUAUUUCAUUUUUAUAUGCAGUCAACAGAUCACAUGUGUAUGUCUCUUAUGUGUUCCUGUGUGGGAAUAGCUUGAAUUACUACAUAAGUUCUCUGAGAAUAUUAAGUUCAUUUAGGGGAACAGGACAUAUCUAUAUGAAAAACAGAAAUAAUACUACAAACAAAAGAGAGAUCACGAGAUAACAUGUAAUUAAUUCUCAGUGAAUGACAUGUCAUGAAAUCAUCAGAAGAGAUGAGGAUAUGGGAAAAGCUUUAUGAAAGUAGUCAGAACCAUAAGGAAGAUUCGGUUUUGUUAAACAGAAAGACCUUUUUCCAUUGUGGUAUUAAGUUUAAUAUGAUUUUCAUUGUAUUAAAAUACUAAUGCAGUAAGUUGAAAAUAUAAUUGCAUUCUUUUCAUUUAAUCUAUUGUAAAAUAUAUAAUCAAAAUGAUAUACUUGUAAAAUAAUUACAUAUAUAAUAAAAUCAAUAUACCUGUAAAAGAAUCA
rnacentral:lncRNA from 10 species